rnacentral:rRNA from 1 species
UACGUAGGGUGCAAGCGUUAAUCGGAAUUACUGGGCGUAAAGCGUGCGCAGGCGGUUUUGUAGGUCUGUCGUGAAAGCCCCGGGCUCAACCUGGGAAUUGCGAUGGAGACUGCAAGGCUUGAAUCUGGCAGAGGGGGGUAGAAUUCCACGUGUAGCAGUGAAAUGCGUAGAGAUGUGGAGGAACACCGAUGGCGAAGGCAGCCCCCUGGGUCAAGAUUGACGCUCAUGCACGAAAGCGUGGGGAGCAAACAGG